GGGAGCUGAAUUUUUUCUUGGGUCUACAAGUGAAGUAGUCCACAAAGGGUACAUUCAUUUGUCAGCAUAAAUACAUCAACGAGUUCUGAAAAAGGUUUGAUAUGGAAGCAUUAAAAGUAAUUGACACUCCCACUGCGACGACUACUCGACUAGACAUGGAUAAAUAUGGAUCUCCUGUGAAUCAAACAAUGAAUAGAGGCAUUAUUAGGUCUCUUCUCUAUCUCACUGCCAGCAGACCCAAUAUUGUCUUCAGUGUGGGGCUAUGUUCAAUGUUUCAAUAAAAUCCCAAUAAAUCUCAUCUGAAGGUUGUCGUGCCCCCUUUUUCCCCUCCACGGAGAGAGAGAGAGAAGUUCGGGUUCCGACCUUCAUGGGGGUAAUAACUCAUUUCCCUUUUGGUAUUUUGGGUAUCUAAAGAGUCGACACCUAACGGAUUAUGGUGCGUUAGGGCACCUAGAGUAACUCUUAGAUUACAAGAGAUUUAGGUAAGGGCUUAAAAUAGCCUUGAAGGGAAGGUGUUAGGGCACCCCUCUUGGUCCACAAUGGUGGGUCCCGACAGAACUUAUACAUAUGAAUUAGUCCUUUUAUCAAAGAAAUAAUUUGAACACAUUCUUGAAAAUAAAGGCACGUUUUGGCAUCCUAAGUACAUGUAUGGCUCAAGUAAUGAAAACUAGGGAAAAGUUUUGAACAUAUGUAAAGAGAAGUAAAUUCAUUUAAAACAUAUAAGAAUUGGGAAAAGAGGGGUCCUAGGUUGAUUAGCCUGUAGGAUCACUCCAUACAAUGUCUGGUAAACACUCUUCAAUGAGGAGCUACAUGUGACAUUAGCCCGUAGUCAUCAUAUCCUCACUACCCAAUUCCCUUCCCUUGGUCAUGGCCUAAGCAUUAUAAUAACCUUGAUAGACGUCCUAUGCGUGCACUACUCGUCCCUUCUUUGUGGCUCUGGAGGUAUUUUAGGACCUCUACUUUUGGACAGUUCUAGACCAUCCUAAUGUUUUAAAGGAUAAAAGUCUAGGCUUCAAUCAAGAACAAUUAGGACUGCAUUUAAAGAGAUGAAAUUACAGGCUCGCAGUCACUCCAAAAUUAUAAUAAGUAAAUGCACGUCUUCAAACAACAGUCAGGUAUUUAAGUGAAAAUCCUAGAACAUGAUAUCUAGGUGAGCAGAGAUUAUGCAGUAUUGAAUUAGGAAAAAGUAUAAAACCUAAUUAGCUCGCCUACUGAUUUAGACAUGUUAAAUCUAACAGUGUUAAAUAACAAAGCACAGUUUUAUAGUUGUAGAAUUUGAAUCGCCCUAGAGGCUUACCUAAACGCAUAACAGUAGUGUCCUAAGAGCAUGGUAUCUAUAUUUAUUUAGAAGCAGUAAAAUAGUGAAUAGUUUUAAACGGACAACUUGAGAUCCUAUAGACAUGCUUUCUAACUGUAUUAUGUUAAGGCAGUAUUUGAAAACUUGUCAAGAAAUGGACAUAUUAAUUAACAAAUUCAAAAUGAAUAAACAAUGAAUUAAAUUGAUUUAUUGAGCUAGACUAAUUUUAAGUUUUAUAGGCAUGAUUUUUAUUAGAGCCAAUUUUAAUCCUUAUAGGCAUGGUAUCUAGUUAUCAAAGCUGGCUCUUAAACUUAUAGGCAUGUGAACACAUGCUGUAACAAAAACUGAACUUCAAUUAUCUUUUCACUCUAUAGGCAUGAUAUAUAUUAUUAAAGUCAUUUAGAUCCUAUAGGCAUGUUUUCUAAUAUUGUAGAGGUAAGCAAACAUAGUAAAUGCAUUAACACAUUCCUAUAGGCCUGACAUCUACCCAAUUUACCCAAGAGAUAUGUGACUACACACCCCAUUUCACUAAUCACCCUAAUGUUUUUUACAAUAAUUAUUACAGACCAGCUGAAUUACAUAAAUAAAUAAAGAAAAAGAAGAAGUUAACAAUAGGGAGCCUGAAGUAGGCCCAAGUAACUUCCAAGCCUCCAACAACCUCAAAAUGCCAAUUUUCCAUAGACAUUAUCAUGUCCAAGUAUGUUAGAGUUCCUUAAGGACCUCAAGGAUCCCGAGCAAUGCUCACACCUAAACCUUUUCUCAACAAUAUCUGAUUUAAGUACAGUAUGGAAAGGUCAGCUCUGACAUGCCAGAGUUCAGAGAGACUUCAAGAGUCUCAAGGCAGUACACAUAUUAGAGGGGAAGAACCUAAUAUCCUUUGAGUAAAGUGAGAGUACUUCACAUAGUUUUUCACAAGUAGAAAAGUUUUUCAAAAAAUAAAAAAUAACUUAGUGAUAAAAAAUAGUUUGAGAAGAGUACCAAGUAGAUGACAAUCAAUUGGUCAUAUGAGGCACCCAGAUUUAGAAAAGAACACUUAACAAAUAGAUCUUUACAUAGGGAUAAAUGGAUUGUGGCACAUAAGAAUCACACUAGGGUAUAGGGAUAGGGAUAUAGGAAACAUAUAGUCACAAACUGCAUGCAACACUUAGGAACUUAGAGACUCAAUAAGUCAUGCUAGGCAAAGAAAUAAACAGGAAAGAGUGCAUACAUUGGACAUGACAGAAUUUUAGACAUGCUAGGCAAAUAAGUAAGCAAGAAAGAGUGCAGAAUAUAAAAAAUACACUGAACAGAAGAUUUUAGACAUGUUGAGCAAAGAAGUAGGCAGAAAUUCAUGUUGAAACUCAUAACUGAUGAACUAGUGCAAGAAUUAAGCAUGCAUGGAUUGGAUUCCAAAACUUAACUAGAGACAUACCAGUUGAAGAAAAGGGUACAGGAUAUAAAGCGAAUAAAGUUCCAAUAUCUAGCAUUCGCUUUCAGCCGGCUAGAGCAGUAAGUAUCACAAAAAGCAGAAGAGAAAGAGCACUUUUAAAGUGUAACUGUACUUUUUUGUAAACUAAUGUCUUGUCUAAUAAUAGUAGAAGAAAGCAUAUAUAUAGUAGUUUGAAAGGUAAGAAUCACAUUGUUCAGUAAUUGGAGAAUCUUUGAAUUAAUUAAAGUAAAAUCACUCCAAGUCUUCCCUUAAUUAAGGGAGUCAUUGAUUACAAACAGUAAAGAACAUGUACCAAAUAAGGAAAGAGUUAAAAAGACCUAAGUAUAGAAUAAACAAUUAUGGAUAGAUACAUAGGGUUCUAAUUAAGGAAAUAAUAGUAAGAAUCAAGCAAUAGUGCAGACAAGGUAAGAAAAAAAUUAGUUAUGGAAAUCAAUUCAAUCAAAUCGAGCAGAAAGGUAAGAAUCAAAAGUUUAAGGAAAAGUGUUCAAAUCGAACUAAGAUAUAAGGAAUUUAGAAUAAUCAAAGAGAAAUUCAUGAAAGAGUCAGCAUGUUUAACAUAUAAAAUAAGGUGAAACAUGAAUAAUCAAGAAUAGACAUAGAACUUUAACAAAAUAAAAAGUUAAACAAUAUUGAUUCAAUGAGAAAGAUACAGGUCUUGAUGUGAAUAGUCAAGAUAAACACAAACACAUAAAAUCAGUGAAAGGUCAAACUAAGAAAAUAAGUAUAAGCAUAUAAAGGCAAGAAAUUCACGAGAAAUUACGAGAACUCAAACCAAGAACCAGUCAGAUUUACUAAUACUCAUAAACCAAAUGAAGAGCCCAACAAAUUAGGGCUUUUGGUACAAGUGAGUUAAGGUUGUAGCAGACUCAUAAAAUCAGUCAAUAUAUAUGAAAAGCGGAAGAUUAAACACACAAAAAAAUCAUCAAACAAUUUUUAAAGAGAAAUUUCAGAAACCCUAAAUUUAGGAAAAAAUGAAAAUUGCUUGAAAAUCGUAUGAUUCUUGUAAAGAAUCUUAAAGUUGUUGUAAAACUCACAUAAAACAAGCCCAAAUCACCUCAGAUCUGUACAGAUCUAAUGGUUUAGAAAAAGAAUUUAGGGUUUCAAAGACAAUGACACAGAGAUGAAGAAAUAUACUUAGAAAACCAUAGAGCAUAGUCAAAUUAGGAUGAUCUUACUCGGAAUCACAUUGGAAUGGCCUCAAAAAGGCGAGAUAGAAACCAUAUAUGCAAGCCAACUAGCAUGAAUCCCUCGAGGGACUUGAAGAUGGUAAGAGUAACGUGAGGGAGGCCAUUGGAGGCUUGGGAGGUGGUGAGAAGUCAUCGAAGAUGGCCAUGGAAGAGGUUCAGUGGGUUUGGUUAGGGUUACGUUGGGAGCGUUUGAGAUCAGAGAGGAUUAGGUGAUGGCGGGGAAAGGGUGGUAGAAUGAUUAGGUUUUUGG
rnacentral:lncRNA from 1 species